GCCGCGUUCGUCUAGCUGGCCCAGGACAUCAGGUUUUCAUCCUGAAGAUCAGGGGUUCGAAUCCCCUACGCGGUACAA
rnacentral:tRNA from 2 species